UUUGAUGUCACAUGUGUACUACCAACUCCAAGUAGACCCUGAACACUGAGGAGUGCCUGCGACCUGAGAGCCGCCACGGCCAGAAUAUAGAGAGGGACAGCUAAAGCCCACGGGCACCAAAACAAGGCUCCAGGAACAGGUUCGGGGCCUAGCUCCUCCCAGAGAUGUCUCUUUACAAGAUGGUUGUUUAUCAGUACCUGACCUGUCUAGAAUGUGGAAGUGAUGCAGGCCACACUGGAGCAUGGCAGAAUGGUUCGUUCUCAUUGUCACCUGACUGGAUUUGGAAACACCGGGGAGACACGCCUCUGAGCAUGUCCAGGGGCCCUUUCCAGAGUUGACUGAGGAAGGACGACUCACCCUGAGUGUGGGCUGAAACAUCCCACGAGCUGGGAUCUUUUUCUUUUUUUAAAGAUUUAUUUUAUUUUUAUUUUAUACAUGUGAAUGUUUUGCCUGCAUGUAUGUGCCACAUGCCUUCUUCCAGUACCUUCCGUCCCUCUGGGUGGAUCUACUUUUCUGACUGAGGACCUACCAAGUUCACAGGUGCCAGAUCUGGGGCUGGGCACAGCUUGCUUCCCUUGGUCACUUGCUCCAUGCUGCUGAGCUGGAGCCCUCGCAGCCUGCGGCAGUCAGUGUCUGUCUUCCCACUUUGCCAGCUCCCUAACCCUAACCUCAACCCUGAGGUUGGCCAGGGAAGCGGGUGUGCCAUCACACACCCAGGCUGUGACUCUGGGCCGAGUGCCCCACUCGAGAAUACUGGUGUGGGGUUCUGAGCAGUUUCUUCUGUCAUGGUCCUCCUCCCUCUGACUCAUCUGGCCAGAAGGGCAAUGAAACCUUUCCAGAUUUUUUACCAUCUGUGAGAACCCAGGGUUUGCCAAAUGCAAAUUUAUGUGGUAACAGGUGCUUUCAGAAGCGCGUCAGACUCACAAGGCACAGCUCCCAUCAAGUGUGAACUGAAUGGACUUACCGUUGUUGCCAGGGACUAGAGGGCCCCUGCCACCCACACUAUGACCUGGAGUUUCCAUCUCAGCACCAACACAGAGGAGAGACCUCAGCUGACCUCGGCCACCGGGGUUGCCCUCUCUGAGCACCUGCUGGGGUGUCACCACCUGUUGGGGUUUUUGCCUGGAAGGCCCUGGACCAACCCAGAAACCAACAGUGAUGUCAGCCCCAGGAGCCAGGACUCUGUGCCAGCCUGGCUGUUUGGAGAGCCUGUGACUGCAUGGGAGAGGAAAGGCCAGUGCCCAGUGCCCAGGCUGGCAGGUUCAGGAGGAAUGGGAGCGCAUGUGCACCUUGUAUCCGAUCCCCUCAUCAGCACUACACAGCUGUGCUGGGGAAGAUUAUUUUAAGGCUCUCCUUUCAGUCAGCACUUGGGCUGCUCAGAGCCUGGACUGAAGAGCACCUCCCAGCGUUAGAUUGUGUCUCCCAGUCUCGAAGACACACAGACACAUUUGGAAUAAGAAAAUCACCUUCCCAGCUUACUGAGGAUUCAGAGAGCCUGGCUGCAGGCUCAUGUUGUGAAACCACCCCCUUCUUCAGAGAACUGGAACAGAGAAGCCCCACUCCCUCCUUGUGAGCCUGACUCCUCCUCAGAGGCCCUGCCAUGCCGCUAUGCCGCCAUAUUGCCAUGCGGCCAGCCUCUGGUGCUGGGGCCUGAACUCUCCUCAGAGCCUCCACCAUUCUGUUGUCUGUCUGUCCACAGCA